GAUGAACGCUGGCGGCGUGCCUAAUACAUGCAAGUCGAGCGAACAGACGAGGAGCUUGCUCCUCUGACGUUAGCGGCGGACGGGUGAGUAACACGUGGAUAACCUACCUAUAAGACUGGGAUAACUUCGGGAAACCGGAGCUAAUACCGGAUAAUAUAUUGAACCGCAUGGUUCAAUAGUGAAAGACGGUUUUGCUGUCACUUAUAGAUGGAUCCGCGCCGCAUUAGCUAGUUGGUAAGGUAACGGCUUACCAAGGCGACGAUGCGUAGCCGACCUGAGAGGGUGAUCGGCCACACUGGAACUGAGACACGGCCCAGACUCCUACGGGAGGCAGCAGUAGGGAAUCUUCCGCAAUGGGCGAAAGCCUGACGGAGCAACGCCGCGUGAGUGAUGAAGGUCUUCGGAUCGUAAAACUCUGUUAUUAGGGAAGAACAAAUGUGUAAGUAACUAUGCACGUCCUGACGGUACCUAAUCAGAAAGCCACGGCUAACUACGUG
rnacentral:rRNA from 1 species